rnacentral:rRNA from 1 species
CCUACGGGAGGCAGCAGUGAGGAAUAUUGGUCAAUGGACGCGAGUCUGAACCAGCCAUGCCGCGUGCAGGAAGACGGCUCUAUGAGUUGUAAACUGCUUUUGUACGGGGGUAAAAGCAUAUACGCGUAUCUGUCUGAAAGUAUCGUACGAAUAAGGAUCGGCUAACUCCGUGCCAGCAGCCGCGGUAAUACGGAGGAUUCAAGCGUUAUCCGGAUUUAUUGGGUUUAAAGGGUGCGUAGGCGGUCGGAUAAGUUAGAGGUGAAAUCCCGGGGCUCAACUUAGGAAUUGCCUGUGAUACUGUCCGGCUAGAGAGUAGUAGCGGUAGGCGGAAUGUAUGGUGUAGCGGUGAAAUGCUUAGAGAUCAUACAGAACUCCGAUUGCGAAGGCAGCUUACCAAGCUACUUCUGACGCUGAGGCACGAAAGCGUGGGGAGCAAACAGGAUUAGAUACCCGUGUAGUC